GCCAAUGACCAUACCACAAUGAAAACACCGGUUCUCGUCCGAUCACCGCAGUUAAGCAUUGUCGGGCGCGGUUAGUACUUGGAUGGGGGACCGCUUGGGAACACCGCGUGUUGUUGGCAAAC
rnacentral:rRNA from 1 species